UGCACAUAUCAGCAAUAUAAGCUCUCUAUCUCAGAUUCUUCAAUGAUAUCUUUGUUUGUGUUUUUUUACAGAAAAUGCUAUUGUAGCUUUCGGCUAUGGGAUAUUUAAAAUCGAUCCUCCAUUUGCUACACCAUCAGUGAACCCCGAGCCCAGCAUCGAGCCCAAAUCCACCGCCAGCCCCAACAGCACCCAAGCUACAAAUGAGGACACCGGAGAGGAGUGUGACCACUUUAAAAACUUCAACUGUGGUGGUGAUGAUAAUGCGAGAACCCAGUUCACGCUUUUGCCUGGGAACCGGAGCCCAGAGCUGAAGCUCGGCGCUGGAGCCUGGAUGCUGUGGCUGGUUUACGCAGCGGGAAGCAUCGCGGUCUGAACCUGCUGGACGCGUGCGUCUCAGAGACACAAGGACAGGCUUGACCGAUCUUCGAAAAAAAAAAAAAAAGACCAAAUUCUUUGCUCAUCUGUCUUCUCUCUACUGCUACAGCUUUAUUUCUGUCCAGAUUACAACGCAAGACAUCCAGUACGAGUGGAGGAACACCACCACCAAACGGAGAGCCGGAGAGAACGCUGAGAUACAUAUCCGAGACUAAAGCUGCAGUGCAUUGUGAGCGAGAACUAGACGGAUAUGGGUCGGACAUAGACGUUUGAAUGGAGUUGAAUGGAUAGAGUGGACGUGGAUGGAUGUUCCUCACUUUUUUGAGCUCCUGAUUCCAGUGGGAGUAAACGGACCCGUGAUUCGACCGUAAGUUUGGAAAGUUUGGAAGACGUUGGAUGACUCACAGCUGCAAGAUCGAACGUGGAGUUUUCAGGAGUCUACUGUACAGCAUCUUUUCAAAUGGAAGUUUGGUUGUACCCGUGUGACCAUUUUCACCUGCUGACCAGCUCCGGACUCCACCGACAUUUUGCUUUCCUUCUCUUUCUUUCUCUUCUUCCUUUCUUUCUUUCUUUUGCAGCCCUGACCUCCCGUUCCCCCUGAUUUAUCGGAUUGUUCGCUACGCUCUUCUCUGACAGGUGCUUCGGCUUCGUGAUUAUUCCUUUUCUCACGGCGCCUUCGCUUUCUUCGCCCCACUCUUUUAUUUUUCCCUCUCUCACCCCUUCAUCGCGGAGGAGUAAUUGCUUUUCUCGUGGUUCUUUUUUUUUUUCAGUACGAAGUGUUUGAAGUAUAAAUCUGUACCCUGUCGACAUGGUGUGAGGGCGUGUCGCUGCUGACAAGCUUUCUUAGUCCUGUUGUGUGCUUUUCUGACAGAUUUCAAAAGGGGGGAGAAAAAAAAAAUGUUAAUGAUAAAAAAAUGAAGCGUUUCUGAAAAGUACCAAUCGAUGAAGUGGAGGGCUGACACUCGUGGAAAGGGAAGUGAGUGUUCGAGUUUGAAGUGAGUUCUAAUGGGCACCCCACGAAGUACGGUAUAAUUGCAGUGUGUGAAUAUAAAAUAAAAAAAAAUAUAUAUAUGUUUUUUUUUUUUUC
rnacentral:lncRNA from 1 species